AGCUGACCUUGAAACAAGGAGAUUCUUCAGGUGGGCCUAAUGUAAAUUUACAUAAAUUCUUAAAUAGAGAAGGAGGGAGCCGAAUCAGAAUCAGAGAGAUGAUUUCGGUAGAACAGCUCAACUGGCCAUUGCUGGCUUUGAAGAUCGAAGCAGGUCAGCAUCUGGGAACUAUAAAAGGCAAUGAAAUAUGUUCUUCCUUAGAGCCUCCAGAAGGAACACAGCCCUGCCGACAUCUUGCUCUUACACCAGUGAGGCCCCUUUGGACUUCUGACCUCGAGAACUCCACAGGUUUCAGCAGGCAGGGCCAGCAGUGACCUCAUGAACAAGAGUCACCAGGCUGCAGAGUCCAACAGGGAGCCAGAAAACAACUCUGGGACUCUCCUGCAGAUCUGAAGCCCUUCCUCCUAACACCCCCUCCGCCAGCCUCUGACACAUGGCAAACUGCCCUAAGACUACGUCAUCAAUUUGGGAAGGAGAAAAGGUAAGACAGUCUGAAAAAGCAAGUAUUUCCUCAUGAAGGACUCUGGUACACAAAAACGAGACUUACGACUACCAUCAAAAUUUCACAAAAUACACCCAGAGAAGUUUUUUGGGUUUUGUUGUUGUUGUUGUUUUAAAAAAGAAACUGUCAGAAACGAGUCCAAACAUGAAACAUGAGUCAUGAAAACACAGUGUGAGCUGUAAACUUUUUUUUUUCUCCAAGACAGUGUAAAAUGUACACAGGUUUUGUUAGAAUAAAAUGGAAAACGAAGAGGAUGAAGUAUCCUCUUAGGGGGAAGACCUCCCAUCCACUGCCUCCUGGGAGCCACUGGCCCUCCCCCACCCGCAACCUAUGUUGUCCCAGAUCAUGCAUGCAUAUUUAUGUUGUCCCAGAUCAUGCAUGCAUAUUAGAGUUAGCUAGUGUGAAACUAAUCAGAAGCACAUAAGGUUUACAUCAGACUAACUUCAAAACAAACAUAAAUCUUGAGAGCACAUUACACAUAAUGGCAGGAGCAAGUGGAAUAAAACAUUGUGACCAGGGCCCCAGUUCCAGCUCUGUAACACCUCACACAGCCUUGCCAUCGGUAACAGAAGAUGACCAGGUUUUACUUUAAACUGUUAUUUUGAUCGGGCAUGAUGGCUCACCACUGUAACCCCAGCCCUUUGAGAGGCCAAGGCAGGCAGAUCACCAGAGGUCAGGAGUUUGAGAUCAGCCUCGCUAACAUGGUGAAACCCCAUCUCUACUAAAUACACAAAAUUAGCUGGGCAUGGUGGCACACACUUGGAAUUCCAGCUACUCGAGAGGCUGAGGCAGGAGAAUCCCUUGAAUUCAGGAGGCGGAGGUUUCAGUGUGCCGGGAUCGAGCCACUGUACUCCAGCCUGGGCGACAGAGUGAGACUCUGUCUCAAAAAAAAAAAAAAAAAAAAAAAAAAAGUUAUUUUAUACUUGAUGACAAAACAAUGACCUGAAAACAAAGAUACACAGUAAGUCAAUGAGCCACUUCUACAAUGCUAAGCUUUAUUUUUAGCACUCUUUUUCUAAGUUGAAUGAACUGAAGAUGGUUUUAGCGUCACAGACACCCCUGAAUUGAGUUAGAAUGAGAAAGCCUGUCCCCGCUCUCGUUAGAGGUGCUGCUGCAGAAGGGUAUACAGGUUUUAAUGAGUCAAGAGUGAUUUUCUUAUAAAAUUGGACGUAGAGGCAGCUUUGCUUGGAAAAGAAGCCAUCUCUGCAGCACAACAUAUUAGAAAGAGCAUGGACUUUGUAGACAAAUAGGUCUUCAUUAAACUCUGAUUGUAUUUCCUCCUUGAUGAAAUCAGAUUAAUAGUAUGAAAUGACUUAGGUUCUUAGAUGCAAGCAGCAGAUGCUGACUACGGUUUCUGUUAGAAAAAAAAGACUUGAUUUAAAAGAUACUGAGUGGCUGACAGGAUUGCAGGGAAGACCAGAGAACCAGGCUUAGGCUAAGGAACUCCACCUGGCAGAUGCCUCAGCUUGCCUCUCAGAUACCAUGGCCACCUCUGGAAAAUGGAUGUCUCUUUCAAUCCCCACUGCUUCCAUCAGUCACCAGCAGUUUUAUUUUGUUUUUCUAUGGCCUCUGCUUCAUCAGGACACUCUCUUCCCAUUCAAAGUCUGAGGCCAGUGUGCCCACACCUUAGCUAGGAGGGAUGCUGAGAAAAUGGAGUUGAAAACAGACCCUGCUCAGUCAGUCAACUACAAAUACUUCUUUGGAAAAGUUGCAAUAAGGCUGAAAUUACAAAGACAGGUACAAAUUCCAUAAAGGAAGAGAUCUUGACCCCUAACUUAAGUCUGGCACAUAAUGAAUGCUCAAAAAGAGUUGUUAGAGGAAUUUUAGAAAGCAAGGAAUGGAUGAACAACAUGGGUAAAAUUCUUAUUCUGUGUGGAUCAUAAUAGACAAGUAAGGAAUGUUUUUUCUUUUUUAGUCUUAUGUCACUAACUUCACUGGAAACCAUAUUCUAUACAUUCUUUAUAUUUGGCAAUGAGAAAAUAAGUUUUCUGAUACAUGUCUUAGUAUGUUUAAACGGGAACUAUACAUUACCAAAAUUAUCAAUUUUAAAAUAACUAGAGUGAAAUAAAUGCACUUAUUGCCAAAAAGUUUUUUUCAUCUUCAGAAAGUUCUAUGGUGGGUGGGCAUCGUGGCUCAUGCCUGUAAUCCCAGCACUUUGGGAGGCCGAGGCGGAUGGCUCACCUGAGAUCAUGAGUUUGAGACCAGCCUGGACAACAUGGUGAAACCCUGUCUCUACUAAAAAUACAAAAAUUACCUGGGUGUGGUGGCGGGCACCUAUAAUCCCAGCUUCUCAGGAGGCUGAGGUAGGAGAAUCGUUUGAACCUAGGGAGGUGGAGGUUGCAGUGAGCCAAGAUCACACCACUGCACUCUAGCCUGGGAGACAGAGCAAGACUCCAUAUUGAAAAAAAAAAGAAAAAAGAAAGAAAGUUCUAUGGCAUUAUACACUGGACAUUAUUUGUUAUAUCUGUAAGUAAUAUUCUGAUAAUGAAAGUAAAUGUCACAUAAUAGACUUCAGAAUUUUAGAUUGCUUCCUAAUCAACUUUUAAAUGAAUAGUUUUCUUAGUGACUAUAAUUUUAAAAAUUAUAUUAAAACUGUAAAAAACAUAUCAUAAACGCC
rnacentral:lncRNA from 1 species